UCCUAUCGCACCGUCUUACUUCUUCUUACUCCUUCCUUCUAACGUAUAUUUAACGAGAAACUCGCUCAAUAUUUUUCGCAGUCAGUGUCGUUGAAAGUUGCACCAGGACUUGCAUCUGGACACUGCAUUUUUCAAGAGUUGGUUCACCAGAAAAAUGGCUCUAAACGUACCUGGUGCUAGGCUAUGUAUCAGUGAAAAAAAAAGCCGAGAAUGUUAAUUCUUUUUUCUUGCCACAAAAAAAUAUUGCAAAGGGAAUUGGAAAUCAGGAAAAUAUUAAACCAAUAAAGGUCAAUGGAUUAAAAGUGGAGAAACUGUUAGAAAGAUCUUUCUAUUUCGAAGCUGAUUUAAAAUGAAUGGAUAUAAUCGGAAUGGCCAUCUUGCACAUUGUGUCACUCUAUAUCCUAAUGAUAUUCCCGUUCCGUGAAAAAACUACUUUUCUUCUACAAGACUGUGCGAGAUAUGGACUUAUCAAGGAAAGGACAAGUAUAAAAUUAACGCUAUUGAAAUGAAAUUCUCGCACAUAAUGUGUCAGAAACGAGAUAAUCUUUAAAGAUUGUGGUACAGAAGAGACACUAGUUGACAUAUGGGAAAAAAAUCUGUUAAAAAGGUUCGGGCAUGUUGAGAGAAUGUAAGAUCGACGACUAACGAACAAAUAGUUUAUAAAAAGAAUCCCAGUAGAGUGCAUGGAGCCUGAAAUAAAAGACCUUGGAUACUGACACGUCUACACCGAAAGGGAAAUAUCUUAAUUGUAUAUAUACAAAUAUUUUAGAGAAACAGGCUUUUAAGAUAGAGAACGAAGCAUAUUUCAUUAGUCACUCCACGUUCAGAAAGCUAGAAGAUGGACUCUGAGAUUUCAGUGUGAGAGACCACCCCACAGUGGGAGGAAAAGCACAUUUUUUGGAUAAAAAUCGACUUACAGUGCAAUUCUGAGUGGAUUUUGGUUUUUCUGUUUUAGAAUUGACCGUAAGGCUUCCAGGGAAACUCAUCUAAAUGUCAGGGAAAAGUCAGAGAACUGUCAGAAAAAUUAGAAUAUUUAAAGUUGUGGCCACCCUGAUUAUGAAAUUACAGACGACGAAAGCUCUAAUGUCAUAGUUAAAAUAGAUCGACCACGCUUAUCGUUCGAGAAGUGCUCAAAUAAAAAUAAAAUAAGACGAGCAACAGAACUAGCUUCGAACCAUGCAUAUGAUGAACUGCAAAUGGUUUUGAAAGUAAAACAAAUAGAAACACCUAAGGUAAACGAUGCUGAAUCAGAAAUUAAAACUGAAGAGAGUAAUUACAAUGAUCGUGAAAGAAAUCAAGCAUUGGUUAUGUUUACUGAUGUUCGUCUUACGCAAGAGAAAUAACGAAAAAUGAGAGAGCAUAAUUUAUAAUUUUUUUGAAGUGAAAUGUAUCCACCUUACGAUGACAUAACAAAAGGCAAGCAAGAUUGUUACCCUAAUCACAUCGAAAUCAAUAAUUCAGGAGCAAAUGUUCAUUUUAUUUCUUUACUUCAUCAUACAAUUCGCAGGAAACUUCAGCUUAUUAAUAAAAAAGAACUUCAAAUUUUAAAGCAGGAACAAAUACAUUUUUAAGGAAAAUGGGGUGCGGGCACAGAUGGUGAACAACAAACGACAAGACAGUCGUGGUCCUUAGAAGAAUACUGUGACAACUCUGAUCCGUCUGGCAAGUCAGUUUCAUAACAUAUUUUGUACCACUUAGGUUGCGAGCUAGUAGUAAAAUUCUGUGGGUUAAUUCCAAACCAAAUUCAGUAUCUUAUUGCCAUUCUAUCAGUUUUUAGUUUAUAAAAGAAACUGUUUCAGUAAAAACAAGUAACUAUCAAUAUUAUAAUGCAAUGCUAGAAGAAAAGAAAAUCAUUGUUUGGAGUCUCAUAAUAUGAAUUUUAACAUAAAAUUUAAUAUGAAAUGUAGUAUGCCUGAUGGUAAAGCAGGUAAUGCGAUAAAAGGGCAAGUAUCUUCUUCUUCCAGCAAUUUAUGUGGUUCUAAGCCUAAUAGAAUGAAUGAUGUUGAUAUGGUAUUAAAAACUAAGUGUGAAAUAGAAUUUUACGCAUUUGGUGUUCCUAUAUUACAAAGCGGGAUUCGUUU